AUUGAACGCUGGCGGCAUGCCUUACACAUGCAAGUCGAACGGCAGCGGGGGAGAAGCUUGCUUUUCCUGCCGGCGAGUGGCGAACGGGUGAGUAAUACAUCGGAACGUGCCCUGUAGUGGGGGAUAACUAGUCGAAAGAUUAGCUAAUACCGCAUACGACCUAAGGGUGAAAGUGGGGGACCGCAAGGCCUCAUGCUAUAGGAGCGGCCGAUGUCUGAUUAGCUAGUUGGUGGGGUAAAGGCCUACCAAGGCGACGAUCAGUAGCUGGUCUGGGAGGACGAUCAGCCACACUGGGACGGAGACACGGCGCAGACUCCUACGGGAGGCAGCAGUGGGGAAUUUUGGACAAUGGGCAAAAGCCUGAUCCAGCAAUGCCGCGUGUGUGAAGAAGGCCUUCGGGUUGUAAAGCACUUUUGUCCGGAAAGAAAUGGCUCUGGUUAAUACCUGGGGUCGAUGACGGUACCGGAAGAAUAAGGACCGGCUAACUACGUGCCAGCAGCCGCCGUAA
rnacentral:rRNA from 1 species